GCCACUAAAAACGUUGCCUUAGAUGCUUAAAUUUGAUUGAAGUGGGUGUAUACCAACAUCAUAUAGCGGUGUUGCCAUUGAUACGAAAACUGUUGCCUUAACCACAAAAAAAUCUCAAUGCCAACAUCUUGCCAACACAUUCGGAGAUGUUGCCUUAAGUAAUGAAAAAUGUUUUAAAAGUUUGGUGGGAAACAAAAAUUCAGCAGCCCGCUCAAAACGAAAAAUAGCCGCUCAAGAUUAAAAAAAAUAGAAAAAUAAAACAUAUCAAUUAAAAACAUAUCUUUCACCCUCAAAACAUAUCACCGUCUCAAAAAAUGUAAGUACGUGAGCUUUCACCCUCUCUCACUAUCUCGCACGUUCUCACCCUCUCUCACCGUCUCGCUCUAACACUCUCUCACUGUCACUAUCUCUCGAACGAAGUUUAAUUAGGUUUAUUUUAUGUUGCCUGGAGUUUAAUAGGUGUCGGAGUUGAAGUCGGGGCUUCAGAGCCGCGCGAUUUGGUCGGAAUCGGAGUUGGAGUUUUGCUAUUUGAAUCUUCGAUUGGAGCUUCAAUUUUUUGGUUUGUUGUUUCAAUCAUCAGAAGUACCCAAAAAUCGCUCCUCUAUACCAGUACAAACUAUGUAUACAUGUAGUUGGGGCUGUUCUUGAAGGUUGAGUUUCACCUUUCUCGAGGUGAAUAAAAUGACAAUAUAUGCAAUGAAACAAGCUGUAAAGGAUCUGCUGAAAUUGAAGAUUAUUAAGUGCCAUGGCUCAGAGUAGGAGUCAUGAGGGAAGAAAACAGGAAGUGUAACAUGAGCUCCCUCUUUUUCUGUCUCGUAAGCAAACAAUGAACUGAACUUUAUUUUACCAUAUAUUUAUCAUUGAUAGUUUGAUACCAUUUUUAUUUUUCUUUUGUUAUGAUAGUUUGCUUGCUUUGUGAGUAUUUGUGUU